rnacentral:miRNA from 1 species
AUGUACCCCCUUGUUCCUGAC